AGUGAACGCUGGCGGUAGGCCUAACACAUGCAAGUCGAACGGCAGCACAGGAGAGCUUGCUCUCUGGGUGGCGAGUGGCGGACGGGUGAGGAAUACAUCGGAAUCUACCUUUUCGUGGGGGAUAACGUAGGGAAACUUACGCUAAUACCGCAUACGACCUACGGGUGAAAGUGGGGGACCGCAAGGCCUCACGCGAUUAGAUGAGCCGAUGUCCGAUUAGCUAGUUGGCGGGGUAAUGGCCCACCAAGGCGACGAUCGGUAGCUGGUCUGAGAGGAUGAACAGCAACACUGGAACUGAGACACGGUCCAGACUCAUACGGGAGGCAGCAGUGGGGAAUAUUGGACAAUGGGCGCAAGCCUGAUCCAGCCAUACCGCGUGGGUGAAGAAGGCCUUCGGGUUGUAAAGCCCUUUUGUUGGGAAAGAAAUCCUGUCGAUUAAUACUCGGUGGGGAUGACGGUACCCAAAGAAUAAGCACCGGCUAACUACGUGCCAGCAGCCGCAGUAAGAC
rnacentral:rRNA from 1 species